rnacentral:rRNA from 1 species
GACGGAGGGUGCUAGCGUUGUUCGGAAUCACUGGGCGUAAAGGGCGCGUAGGCGGCGCAGCGUGUCGGCUUGUGAAAGCCCGGGGCUCAACCCCGGAGGUGCGGCCGAAACUGCUGUGCUGGAGGCCGGAAGAGGAGGGUGGAAUACCCAGUGUAGAGGUGAAAUUCGUAGAUAUUGGGUGGAACACCGGUGGCGAAAGCGGCUCUCUGGUCCGGUUCUGACGCUGAGGCGCGAAAGCGUGGGGAGCAAACAGG